UUGUGACCUUCUAGAUGCGUCUGGCAGGAGCCAGCAGCGGGCUCAGCUGCCUACGGUGGACCUUGCCCAUACCACUUGGGUUGGGCAUUGGUGCAAAAAAACAGUGUAGCCUUGAGACAAUACGAUGACGUCACGACCAAUGAGCAAGGCCCGCAGAGGGGACAAAGAUUCACUUCUCUCUUGGACUCUGGCGAGUGUGGACGUGACGCACGUUAAUUCUGUUCCUAGCAACUGUGUUGGCCAUUAGUGGAUAAGUGUAGCCUCGGUGGGAUUCAGUUUGACUCUCACAAGGUAUGGAUGUGUGGCUCGUCACUGGUGAAUGCUGUACGUGAAAAUAAUCCGAUGCUGAGCUGUCCUAACCUGCCCAGACAUGCCAGGAUGACGGCAUGGACUUCAAGAUGGCGUCAUUGAUCUUGAAAUAAACAACUUCUCUC